rnacentral:tRNA from 1 species
GGGGUUGUGGCUCAAUGGUGGAGUACUUGCCUAGCAAGUGUGAGGCACUGGGUUCAAUUCUCAGCACCA